UACGUAGGGUGCAAGCGUUAAUCGGAAUUACUGGGCUUAAAGGGUGCGUAGGCGGUCUUAUAAGUCAGUGCUGAAAUCUCCCGGCUUAACCGGGAGGGUGGCAUUGAUACUGUAGGACUUGAGUAAAGUUGAGGUUGGCGGAAUUGACGGUGUAGCGGUGAAAUGCUUAGAUAUCGUCAAGAACACCUAUAGCGAAGGCAGCUAACUAAGCUUUAACUGACGCUGAGGCACGAAAGUGUGGGGAUCAAACAGG
rnacentral:rRNA from 1 species